rnacentral:rRNA from 1 species
GAGUUUGAUCCUGGCUCAGGAUGAACGCUGGCGGCGUGCCUAAUACAUGCAAGUCGAGCGAACAGAUAAGGAGCUUGCUCCUUUGACGUUAGCGGCGGACGGGUGAGUAACACGUGGGUAACCUACCUAUAAGACUGGAAUAACUCCGGGAAACCGGGGCUAAUGCCGGAUAAUAUUUAGAACCGCAUGGUUCUAAAGUGAAAGAUGGUUUUACUAUCACUUAUAGAUGGACCCGCGCCGUAUUAGCUAGUUGGUGGGGUAAUGGCUUACCAAGGCAACGAUACGUAGCCGACCUGAGAGGGUGAUCGGCCACACUGGAACUGAGACACGGUCCAGACUCCUACGGGAGGCAGCAGUAGGGAAUCUUCCGCAAUGGGCGAAAGCCUGACGGAGCAACGCCGCGUGAGUGAUGAAGGUCUUCGGAUCGUAAAACUCUGUUAUUAGGGAAGAACAAAUGUGUAAGUAACUGUGCACGUCUUGACGGUACCUAAUCAGAAAGCCAC